rnacentral:sRNA from 23 species
AUGCAAGGAAGGCAUGCUAAAAGCGCAACGUCCUGUUGCAACGCAUGCACUUGUACGUCCUGUA